UACGGGGGGGGCAAGCGUUGUUCGGAAUUACUGGGCGUAAAGGGCCAGUAGGCGGCCAACUAAGUCCGACGUGAAAUCCCCAGGCUUAACCUGGGAACUGCGUCUGAUACUGGAUGGCUUGAAUCCGGGAGAGGGAUGCAGAAUUCCAGGUGUAGCGGUGAAAUGCGUAGAUAUCUGGAGGAAUACCGGUGGCGAAGGCGGCUCACUGGCCCGAUACUGACGCUGAGGCACGAAAGCGUGGGGAGCAAACAGG
rnacentral:rRNA from 1 species